CAGCAGCCGCGGUAAUACGUAGGUGGCAAGCGUUGUCCGGAAUUAUUGGGCGUAAAGCGCGCGCAGGUGGCUUAAUAAGUCUGAUGUGAAAGCCCACGGCUCAACCGUGGAGGGUCAUUGGAAACUGUUAAACUUGAGUGCAGGAGAGAAAAGUGGAAUUCCUAGUGUAGCGGUGAAAUGCGUAGAGAUUAGGAGGAACACCAGUGGCGAAGGCGGCUUUUUGGCCUGUAACUGACACUGAGGAGCGAAAGCGUGGGGAGCGAACAGGAUUAGAUACCCCCGUAGUCCCUGUCUCUUAUAC
rnacentral:rRNA from 1 species